AUCCAGAUAAUGAGUCCCAAACAGGACGAAAUGCGCGUUAUCCUGGAU
rnacentral:hammerhead_ribozyme from 1 species